rnacentral:rRNA from 1 species
GAUGAACGCUAGCGGCAGGCUUAACACAUGCAAGUCGAGGGGUAUAUGUCUUCGGAUAUAGAGACCGGCGCACGGGUGCGUAACGCGUAUGCAAUCUACCUUUUACAGAGGGAUAGCCCAGAGAAAUUUGGAUUAAUACCUCAUAGUAUAGCUCUACCGCAUGGUAGUACUAUUAAAGUCACAACGGUAAAGGAUGAGCAUGCGUCCCAUUAGCUAGUUGGUAAGGUAACGGCUUACCAAGGCAACGAUGGGUAGGGGUCCUGAGAGGGAGAUCCCCCACACUGGUACUGAGACACGGACCAGACUCCUACGGGAGGCAGCAGUGAGGAAUAUUGGACAAUGGGCGCAAGCCUGAUCCAGCCAUGCCGCGUGCAGGAUGACGGUCCUAUGGAUUGGAAACUGCUUUUGUACGAGAAGAAACACUGCUUCGUGAAGCAGCUUGACGGUAUCGUAAGAAUAAGGAUCGGCUAACUCCGUGCCAGCAGCCGCGGUAAUACGGAGGAUCCAAGCGUUAUCCGGAAUCAUUGGGUUUAAAGGGUCCGUAGGCGGUUUAGUAAGUCAGUGGUGAAAGCCCAUCGCUCAACGGUGGAACGGCCAUUGAUACUGCUGAACUUGAAUUAUUAGGAAGUAACUAGAAUAUGUAGUGUAGCGGUGAAAUGCUUAGAGAUUACAUGUAAUACCAAUUGCGAAGGCAGGUUACUACUAAUUGAUUGACGCUGAUGGACGAAAGCGUGGGGAGCGAACAGG